GGCGAACGCUGGCGGCGUGCCUAAUACAUGCAAGUUGAGCGCUGAAGGUUGGUACUUGUACCAACUGGAUGAGCAGCGCACGGGUGAGUAACGCGUGGGGAAUCUGCCUUUGAGCGGGGGACAACAUUUGGAAACGAAUGCUAAUACCGCAUAAAAACUUUAAACACAAGUUUUAAGUUUGAAAGAUGCAAUUGCAUCACUCAAAGAUGAUCCCGCGUUGUAUUAGCUAGUUGGUGAGGUAAAGGCUCACCAAGGCGAUGAUACAUAGCCGACCUGAGAGGGUGAUCGGCCACAUUGGGACUGAGACACGGCCCAAACUCCUACGGGAGGCAGCAGUAGGGAAUCUUCGGCAAUGGACGAAAGUCUGACCGAGCAACGCCGCGUGAGUGAAGAAGGUUUUCGGAUCGUAAAACUCUGUUGGUAGAGAAGAACGUUGGUGAGAGUGGAAAGCUCAUCAAGUGACGGUAACUACCCAGAAAGGGACGGCUAACUACGUG
rnacentral:rRNA from 1 species